ensembl:lncRNA
GGGCAAAGAACUCCAUGCAAAAAAAAAACCCAGAAAAUAGUCCUUAAAGAAAAUUGUAUUGCCGCCAAGAAAAAGGUUAAUUUGAAUACGUAGGUGGUCUUGCUUGAUUGGUUGGUUUUGUGUCAACCCUGACCCUACAGUAACCCCAGUCUUGCUGAUCAAAGGGAUUAUGCUGCAGGCUCCGGGGCUGUAUCCGUAGUCUCUGUGCAUUUCCUCUCACGGUGCGGUAGUUUGCUGUCUGAGGACAUCAACACUCUUGCUGCCCUUCAUCUGGACUCAAAGGGGUUUAAGGUGUUGAUGUUUGGCCUGAUGGCACAAGAUGUUAUUUUUGGUCCCGUGUCCCAGCCUGGCAGCAGGAAAACCAGUCAGUGACAGCACCAUCCACAGAGAAGGUGGCUUUUCUGUGCUAGCAGAACAUCUCACUCCUCAGAUUUUGACUUCUCUUGCCUCUUCUUGUCGGUGUUGGACACGGCCAUCAGUAGACACAGUUCUGAGCAAUCACCGAGGAAGGUCAGAGAAAUGCCCCUUUUCCCUCCGCUUUCUUUUUCAGUCUGGAAGCCGUCAGCAAGGCCUCAUGCAUCCCUCUGUUUGAAUUCCUACAAAGAUGGAGUUUGAACCUUUUCAGACCUUUAGUAGCUAAUAAUAACUGGGACACUGGUCACAUCUCAGCCCUCGGAGUGAGCCUGUUCUUUGCAGGUUUUUCUUAUGCACUGUGGUAAUUGUGUCAGAACUCAAGGCAGUCCCACCGGUGUUCAGGUUUCAUCUGCCAUUCCCAGAGGAUUUCAUUACUCCCGCACAACCCUUUUUUCCUAGCAAGAUUUCACAUUGCCAGGUAAGUUCCUCCGCUGUCUGCAAGUAUGAGAGUUUCCUGUCCUACAGCUGCUGGAUAUAAAGUGGCAGAGUGAUGGGGUCUGUCUGGUUGUUGUACUGCCACUACAGUCAAUAGAAUGUUUUUUUAGCCAGCAUCCUUCUCAUUGAAAAAUGUUUGCUUUUUUUUUUCCAUUGUCCCAAAAUGAUUGUUGAAUUCAGCGUGGACUUACCAAAUUGAUUCCCCGGAAGAAAAUAUCACGAUUAUAUUCACAAAGCUGAGAGGAAGACAGCCACUUUUUAUUCGCUCAUAAAGGAUGUGGGAGUCCUGGGUUUAAUUUCCUCCUCUGCCUGGGGGAACUAGAACCAGCAUCACUUAUCUCCCAAGAGAAUGCCAUAAGGUUGUGCUGUGCUGCAUACUAAGGUGGGUUGUUCUUACUCCUCACCACUUAUGUGUCCUCUUUCCAGACCCCAGUAGAGACACUCAUGGACACAAUUCACCUGGCUUCCCCAGUCUGUGCUAAUGAGUAUUGCGCUACUAAGGAAUAUGAAAGUGCCAUUGGCAGAGCCUCUCCCAGGGUACCCCUGCUCUUGUGACUGUGGUAUUCUCCUGGAAAAGAAGAAGGGUAGACAGGGAAGCAGAAGAGGGCAUUGAACAUCCUACGCAAGCACAUCAGGCAAACGCAUGUGCUAAAGUUCACAGAGGUGAGAAAGUGCAGCUCAGUCUGCUGGAGAAAAUUACUUGGAGAAGUCAGCACAAGUUAAAGAUGGGAAGACCAAAUUAGUUCAAUCAGAAAGUCUUCCUAAUAUUAACCAAGGACUGUGCUGACAUCAGGCCUGAUGUACAAGAUAAAUGCCAAAAUCAAUGGACCAAAACUCAUGUGCCAGGAGCUAAAGCCAACUGGUGACUGGUGGCAUGUACAUCAUCCUCUGGGGUACAUCCAUUUUGAUACUGAUCCUAGAAUAGGUGGACAGAAAGGAGACAUGCUGACAGCUGUCGUUGUCAACUUCGAGAUCUAAGUCUCUGCUGUGACACUGUUGGUAUUUCAAGGAACAUUUGGACGUUGUGUUGAAGGACAUGGUUUAGUGAGAACCACUGGUGACAGGUGAAUGGUUGGACUGGAUGAUCCUGUGGGUGUUUUUCAACCUUUGUGAUUCUAUGAUUCUACACUUACUUGAUCUGGUCAGACCUUCUGGUGAGUUUCUGGUGAGGAGAUACAUGGGAGUCAUCGCUAUGUCCACCAAUUUCAGUGCAGUCCUGGAAACCCACUUGGAAGGGAAGACUUGGGGUCCUGAAGCCACCCUUCUCUCAGUAGCUUUGCAGUCUUUUCACAUGCUUCUCUGCCUUUUCUUUCUUUUACCUUCCUUUUAAUCAAACUAUCCUAGAUAGGAGGGUACGGGUUGUACAACACAGCUGUGAACUGCAAUCAAGGAGACAACCAAAAGCAAUGUCUAAAUGAGACAGACGCUGAUAUAAAUCCCCUUGAUCAGAGAGGGGCUGAUAAGUCCAUGUGUUGUGCUUGUCUUUUUCUAGCAGUGAGGCUGCAAGUAAAAGUCAACACCUGAAGAGGAAGUAAUAAUUUUUGUCUUUGCUCUCCUUUCCUCUCCCCUCCUGCAUGCCUGUGUCUUCAAAUGAGCAAAGCAGAAUCCCAAAAUGAGUACUAACAGCAGAUCCAGUCUAUCUCAAUGAGUGUCUCCCAAAAAACAGUGAGUGCUGCUAUGACCUUAAAUAAAGGGAGGGAAGCACUGCUACAAAAACUGUUGACAGCUAAGGGAAGAGGGAUAAUGGACACUUUUAAAGCAUAAAGUCUUAUUUUUCAAGUGCUUAAACUGUUUUUUCUCCUUUUUUGUGUAUCUUUAAUUAAAGAUUAAAAGACUUCUAUUGGUGAUUGUUUGCCAUGGUAACCAAGUAGGCUGAGGUCUCUGUAUUCAAAACCCCAAACCUUUUUAAGUGUUUAAUGUUGCAGAGUGUCUGGGUCGUGUUAGCAUCUUUCACUCAUUGAGCCCACUCCUUCCCCAGAACCUCACAGGACUGUGCCCCGUUGGCCACCAGACUAGAGGGACAGCCUCUCAGCUCCACUAUCCCCCUGUGAGUGGGAUCCCUUCUUCUCACUUCUCUUUUGGGUGCUUGAAUGUUUUGCUUUCAAUUAAAUGCAAUUUUCACUGUGAAAUACAGCUAUUCCUUUGCAGUUUUUCAGCAAGAGACAUAAAACCUAACCAGACUCAUCUGUUCCUACUGAGGUGAUGUUUUCUUCUUUCCUGCUGAACCAAACAGCACUUAUUCAUAUCUCGCUGCUAUUUUUAAGAGUGGGGCCCAGCUGUAUGGCAUUCAGAAGCACCACUAAAACUUCAACAGCAGAGUACACAUCAUAGUACAUUCUGGUUAGAGAAAUGACUGGCAGUCAUUUUUGCAAUGAGUGCUGUCUGUAUCGAUGCAUGUGUGCGUAUUUAUUACAUUAGUCACCUCCGCUACUAGAAUGACUUGCAAUUAAGAUUGCUGUAGUACCUGAAAUGUCACAUUGCUUGCCUUCAUUCUGAAAGGGGCACUGCCUUAACCAGAUAAAGCAAAGAGAGACAUAUGAGGGCAUGACCAGACUUAUCCUUAUAACCACAUUAGAAUGGCUGGAAAUGUUACCACUUCUCAGCAGAGAAGUAUAUUUUAGCUGGGACAGAGUCACUGGCCGCAUGUAAGCUCUCAGUCUCUUGAACUGCAAAGCAAGAUGACUUUCAGACGUGAAAGGAACUAACCCAUUUCAUUUUGCAUUUGCCAUACAUGCCCAUAGGGUUCUCACAUCUUCGCUGAGAGACAACCACCUCCAACCACAGUGGCACACAUUUCCUAAGUUCUUAUAGUGUGACACAAAGAACAUAAGCUGAUACGCAAACACAGUAAUUAGUAUAGGAGUACCCACCUGGCUGAUGCGCUGCAUCCGUUUGCUUGUGCUCAGAGGUUGGUAUGAGCUUACAUUUUAUCUCACGUGUGAAGUGUGGAGCCAGGACCUGCCCCUCCAGCAGGUUAUGGCAUGUGCUCGCUGCUUGGGCCUCCCAGGAACUCCAGCAGGUCACUGAGAAUCACAGUGCAAGGCACCAACAGUCCUGGUCUUUGUUCACAAGGCCCUUUCCUUCGAACAGCAUAGAAAAACAAUCAGAUCACUUACUGUCAGUGGGCAGCGUUGAACCCUGAAUAUUGGGAUGGCUGCAUGGCAUAGACAAGCCGUUCAACUUACUCUUUUGCUCUUCUGAACUAAUCAACUCGGAUGGUCAAACUGGCACAAAAGUACGUUUUCUUGUAUUUGGUUUGGUUAUUUUUUUUCCCCCACAGGACUCAUUCGCUUAUGUCAAUCAACUUGAAACAAAAUCAAAGACAAGUUUCCAUGUUUGUGGGUCUCCCGGAGAGGAAAAGGCAGUAAGCAUGUUUGCUGCUAUCCUUUUUCCUUUCAAAUGUUUGUAUUUCAUGAAUUACUCUUGCCACAAAAGUGUUCAUAGUAAAUGCAGAGGAAAGAACAAGAUUACCUGCUUUGAACGCCAUCAGAUUUACGCAUUUGGACAGGAUCUCAUCUGCCAGGUGGUAGAAGAACUUCUGAGUAACUACAAUGAAGUACCCAAGCCAAAGGUUUGGAAAAUUGAUCUGCAGGUAGUACUUAGGGUGACUUAUAUGCUCGUUCAGGCUGCUGUGCUGGUUUCGGGUAGGACAAAACACUCUUUUCUUCUUCUUUUUUUCUUCCAAAAACAUUGUCAGUUCCCUAUAGGCCUGCUCUGCAGGGCUCUAUGGCCAGUUUCCCUAUCGUCUUAAAACAACCCUCCAAACACCUGCUAUCUUUCAAACACCUUUUAUUUCGUGCGCCAUAGUAUGAAGUUUUUGUGUGGUUGUGGAAGUCCUUAGUGAAUGUCAGUGGUAGUCUCUGAAAACACCUGACUAAGUAGGAACCAUCUAACCCUUGGGAGCUAUUGACUGCUGCCUCCAAGGGCGUAAUUAGCAAGUGGCAGAACUUGCCAUGCAGGUCAUGUUUUACAAGAUCUCACAGUAUCGGUAUUGAUUAUGAUUAGAUUAGAUUGGGCUGAUGGUAAAUGCUUAUUUAUGAGAUUUUCAGGCAAAUAGUGAAUAUCUUGUCAUGAGCAUCACCAAAUAUGCUUUUCACACAACUCUAGGAUGAGUUAUAAACUUCAUAUAUGCAUGUGCAUGUGUAUGAUAGAAGAGAGAGGACAAGCCACAGAAAGGCCAGGAUCCUGUAUUUAACACCUUACAAGCUGAAGGCACAAAUGAGUUCAACACACCAAGAGGGAAUUUCACACUAAAAAGAGCAGCUUUUGGAAACCCCUAUUCUGCACUUUCCUGCCAGCCGAUGGCACAUAUAAGGAAGAUGGCAGCAAAUACAAUCGGGCUGGCACACCAUGUGUUAUUGCCUUGACACUGAUUGUAAGGAGAUUUUCACACACUUGCGCAAGGGAGAAUGUUAUUUUUCAGUCCUUCCAAAUAUGUCGGUGGUUUUCUGAACCCUUAAAACUCCAUGCAUCUGUUAGAAAAUGUCUGUUUUAUUCCCAGCUGGUUUUGCUGCUCAAGCCAGGGUGCCUGCAGCCUGCUAGAUGUGCUGGAGCAUUCACAGCGUCUGCACGCAGCUGCGGACAUGACGGAGGACCUAACAGAUACCGUGCCUUUGUAAAGCUGCCGCUGAAGGGAGACCUGAAGUAUCUCAUAUAUCUCUUCUUGCCUACGGUUAGGCAGCUGAAUCCUACCCAUUUCUUAUUUUCAUUUCCACUUGGAUUUCCUGACGUCUUCUUUACCCUCCCCUUUCUUAUUCCUGCUUCUUCAGCAACAAAGCGGGAAAGGUCUAUAAGGAGGAGAGAGAAAGAACUUAAAAAAAAAAUAAGGAACAUUUGUUAAUUUCAGAAGGAAUCAGAAUCGUAUAAAGUCUUACCACAAAAUAAUUUAUUUGGUUUAAAGAGCUUUAUCCUUUUUUUUUUCUUCUGGUUCUCACAACACCAGUGCAGCUUGGAGCCUCCUUAGCGGUCUGGAAGACAAGUCAGAGGGCCACGAGCAUUGAUGCUGUUGCUGACCUCCUGCAUGGCCUUGGUUGCCCCACUUUGUCUUCAGAGGAAUAGCAGAACAAACCCCCUGUACAGUUCCAUAAAGAUUUGAGACUCUCCUCCAGCCAAGUUUAUGAAAGGAGGCCGAGAGCCGUCCAAAAGUGAGCUCAGGAGAAAAACAGAAACUGGAGGGAACAGACGGAAUGUCUCACCCAGCCGGCAGGCUGCACGGGAUGCAGAGUACAUUUACUCUGGCUGCUCCCUGUGAAGUCUCUCCACUUCCAAUCCCCUCACACGCUCCUUUCUCCCCAGCCGCAGUAGGAUCUCGAUUGUGUGCCAUUGCAACCUCUUGGCACCGUGUUCCGCCACCAGAAAGCACCAGCCCCGCCACUGGGACUUGCUCUGCCCAGUGUGAGGGCUCCCAGUGCCAGGUCUGGAAGUUCAUUGCUCCGGCAGCACCGGGCAGGAUGGGGUGAAGCAGGAGCCGGU